rnacentral:misc_RNA from 1 species
AUUGACUGAUAUUUUCACAUACAGAAAUUGUUAGAAAUGCUUGGAGAAGUAAGCAUAUAAUUGAGAGAAGAAAAGACUAUUUGCACUCAAGAAAGAGAUGGCCUAUCACACAGAACAGAAAUGCAGUGAGAUGGCAAUAUAUCCAGCCAUCGGAGAAUGUUGGUAUAGGUAAUGCGGAAGUAGUCAAGCAAGUAACAUAUCAGCUGCUGCAGCCCACCAAUGCAUCAGACUACCACUUCACAUCCAAAAGGCAAAUGCAAGUUUGAAACAACAUAAUUCAGUGGCAUCAAGGCACAGCAUAAGCCAAGAAGGAGCUCAUAAAGUAGUAAAAUCAAAAUACAUCUAUUCAAAGUUCAAGUCUCUAUCUCAAAAAUGGUAAAAAAAUUCACAAAGACAGUUGAAACUACAGACAAGUAAUUUAGAAAAAGCAAAUACCUAAAUAAGUUCAAUAUAUGCAAUGGGUGCAUUGUCGCCUCGCCUUGGCAGAGUUCUGAUAAUUCUGGUAUAUCCACAUUUCUAUCGUCGUACCUAUCUGGGAUCUCCGCGAACAAUGCAUGGACGAUUUGCUUUUCAUAGAUGAAGCCCAGCGCCUGUCUCCUCUUGUGGAGAGAACCAUCCGUAGCCAAAGUAAUCAUUUUGUCAACAUAUUUUCUCAUGGCGCUCGCACGAGCUCUAGUGGUUUUGAUCCGCCCAUGUUUAAGGAGCUGAGUAGUG